rnacentral:rRNA from 1 species
AUUGCACGCUGGCGGCAGGCCUAACACAUGCAAGUCGAACGAGUGGCGGACGGGUGAGUAAUGUCUGGGAAACUGCCUGAUGGAGGGGGAUAACUACUGGAAACGGUAGCUAAUACCGCAUACCAUCAGAUGUGCCCAGAUGGGAUUAGCUAGUUGGUGGGGUAACGGCUCACGAAGGCGACGAUCCCUAGCUGGUAUGAGAGGAUGACCAGCCACCCUGGAACGUGUCCACGUGCCAGAAUCCUACGGUAGUCAGCAGUGGGGAAUAUUGCACAAUGGGCGCAAGCCUUAUGCAGCCAUGCCGCGUGUAUUAAGAAGGCCUUCGGGUUGUAAAGUACUUUCAGCGGGGAGGCGUUACCCGCAGAAGAAGCACCGGCUAACUCCGUGCCAGCAGCCGCGGUAAUAC